GUAGUCGCGGAGCCCGGGCGCCCGCGGCAGCUGAUGUCAGGGGCUGGGCUGCCGCACGAGUGGCCUGACGGGUGCGGGGGAAAAUGUUCGAGCGCGAGCCCCCGCGGGGCCACUGGGGAGACGGAGGGCAGAAACGGGGGCCGUUGGAGCCAGCCUAAGCUUGGGUGUAAGCUCUGUCACUCAGAGCUCGGGACUAGGCGCUUUUGGGUGCAAAACGAGUGGCCCACACAACUCCCUGGCUAGAAGAGGCCCGAGUCUGGGAGGGGAGAGAUUUGGAGAAACCGAAUCUCAACUCCAUGAAGUCAGUGACGUGUCUCUUCUCUGCUGUACUCCGGGUGCCUGAAAUGUGCCUGGCAGGAAACUUUCAUUUUGGCCACAUAUGUACCUGUGUGCACGCAGGCAUGUGUGCUUCUGUGAGCAUGCCCUGGAUCUCAAUGCCAAGGAUUCUGGCAUUUGUCCUCUGCUUCCUGCCUGGGGGGGACCAGCCAGGACUUGCACUCUUGGCCUCACUCCAGCCUGGCUUCCUGACCUGCUCUUGUCUGCUUGGUUCCUGACCCCCGAUUGGCUCCCGCUGACAUCUCCGUCCUCCCUUCACUCUGAACACAUACGUCUCUACCCUGCUCCGCUUGCUCCGACUUUAGCCUCCCUCCUGAUCAUCAUGCACACGCACCCCAUGUCUAUUCUUGCGUUGGCUGAUAACGGCCCUGAAAGAUACCCUUGUGCUAAUCCCUGGACCCUGUAAACUGUACCUUCUAUGGAAAAGGGGUCUUUGCAGAGUUCCCAUUGUGGUUCAAUGGUAAUGAACCCAACUGGUAUCCUUGAGAACUUGGGUUUGAUCCCUGGCCCUGCUCAGUGCAUUAAGGAUCUUGUGUUGCCGUGAGCUGGGGUACAGUUUGCGGAUGUGGCUCGGCUUCCAUGUUGCUGUGGCUGUGGUGUAGGUUGGCAGCUAUAGCUCUGAUUUGACCCCUAGCCUGGGAACUUCCAUAGGCUGCACAUGUAACCCUAAAAAAAAAAAAAAAAAAAAAAAAAAAAAAAAAAAAAAAAAAA
rnacentral:lncRNA from 1 species